CAGGAUUUGGAGUGCAGGGAUGAGCCUGGAGUUGGAGGAUGUGUAAGGCUCUCUCUUUUACCAAUAGUACAAACUGGGAGAUCCACCUAAUGUUGUCUCUUAAGUCAUCAAACAACAGAUGUUUGAAGCUGGCACCUACUUGCAGUCAUACAGUGAAGUAUCUGUACAAUUCAUGGCCUUUUCCUUCAUCUAGAUCUAAUCAGGUAAACCCCAU
rnacentral:lncRNA from 14 species